GUAACGCUUUCAUGUAAGAACAGCCGGACUCCGCCUGUUUACAGGCACUCGGAUCAGUCCGACACGCUCGUGUAUCCGCUGAUCAGGAGAUGAUUCUCUCAGGAGUUUGUGGCUUUGAUGUGUGAAGACCAUGACUGAGAACUCCUGGAAAGCGUUGGCUCCUCCGUCUCCGAGGAUGCUUCGUGUCUUUGAGCUGCUGCGUCUGAACCUGAGCCAGCUGCCUUUCACUGAUGUAAAGAUCUCCAGUUUGGACAGUCGGCGACUGAUCACACACAAACCACAAAGUAAACCAGUCACUCAGCUGUCA